CAGUAGCCGCGGGAAUACGUAGGGUGCAAGCGUUAAUCGGAAUUACUGGGCGUAAAGCGUGCGCAGGCGGUCCGCUAAGACAGAUGUGAAAUCCCCGGGCUUGACCUGGGAACUGCAUUUGUGACUGGCGGGCUAGAGUAUGGCAGAGGGGGGUAGAAUUCCACGUGUAGCAGUGAAAUGCGUAGAGAUGUGGAGGAAUACCGAUGGCGAAGGCAGCUCCCUGGGCCAAUACUGACGCUCAUGCACGAAAGCGUGAGGAGCAAACAGGAUUAGAUACCCCCGUAGUCCCUGUCUCUUAUAC
rnacentral:rRNA from 1 species